rnacentral:rRNA from 1 species
UACGAAGGGGGCUAGCGUUGCUCGGAAUCACUGGGCGUAAAGCGCACGUAGGCGGUCUUUUAAGUCAGGGGUGAAAUCCUGGAGCUCAACUCCAGAACUGCCUUUGAUACUGAAGAUCUUGAGUUCGGGAGAGGUGAGUGGAACUGCGAGUGUAGAGGUGAAAUUCGUAGAUAUUCGCAAGAACACCAGUGGCGAAGGCGGCUCACUGGCCCGAUACUGACGCUGAGGCACGAAAGCGUGGGGAGCAAACAGG